AGAGCGAACGCUGGCGGCAGGCCUAACACAUGCAAGUCGAACGGACUCUUCGGAGUUAGUGGCGGACGGGUGAGUAACACGUGGGAACGUGCCUUUAGGUUCGGAAUAGCUCCUGGAAACGGGUGGUAAUGCCGAAUGUGCCCUUCGGGGGAAAGAUUUAUCGCCUUUAGAGCGGCCCGCGUCUGAUUAGCUAGUUGGUGAGGUAAAGGCUCACCAAGGCUACGAUCAGUAGCUGGUCUGAGAGGAUGACCAGCCACAUUGGGACUGAGACACGGCCCAGACUCCUACGGGAGGCAGCAGUAGGGAAUAGUUGGACAAUGGGCGAAAGCCUGAUCCAGCAAUGCCGCGUGAGUGAUGAAGGCUUAGGGUUAGUAAGCUACUUUUACCGAGUAUGAUAAUGACAGUAUACGGAAGUAACGUAAGCCCCGGCUAACCGUCCGCCGCCGACGCGA
rnacentral:rRNA from 1 species